rnacentral:rRNA from 1 species
CCUACGGGUGGCAGCAGUGAGGAAUAUUGGUCAAUGGACGAGAGUCUGAACCAGCCAAGUAGCGUGAAGGAUGACUGCCCUAUGGGUUGUAAACUUCUUUUAUAUGGGAAUAAAACGUUCCACGUGUGGGAUUUUGUAUGUACCAUAUGAAUAAGGAUCGGCUAACUCCGUGCCAGCAGCCGCGGUAAUACGGAGGAUCCGAGCGUUAUCCGGAUUUAUUGGGUUUAAAGGGUGCGUAGGUGGUUUGUUAAGUCAGUUGUGAAAGGUUGCGGCUCAACCGUAAAAUUGCAGUUGAAACUGGCAGGCUUGAGUACAGUAGAGGUGGGCGGAAUGCGUGGUGUAGCGGUGAAAUGCUUAGAUAUCAGGAAGAACACCGAUGGCGAAGGCAGCCUACUGGGCUGCAACUGACGUUGAGGCCCGAAAGCGUGGGGAGCAAACAGGAUUAGAUACCCUAGUAGUC